UCUCCUGGAAAAGGGUGGUAAUGCCGGAUGCUCCAGUUGAUCGCAUGGUCUUCUGGGAAAGCUUUCGCGGUAUGGGAUGGGGUCGCGUCCUAUCAGCUUGACGGCGGGGUAACGGCCCACCGUGGCUUCGACGGGUAGCCGGCCUGAGAGGGCGACCGGCCACAUUGGGACUGAGAUACGGCCCAGACUCCUACGGGAGGCAGCAGUGGGGAAUAUUGCACAAUGGGCGCAAGCCUGAUGCAGCGACGCCGCGUGAGGGAUGGAGGCCUUCGGGUUGUAAACCUCUUUUAUCGGGGAGCAAGCGAGAGUGAGUUUACCCGUUGAAUAAGCACCGGCUAACUACGUGCCAGCAGCCGCGGUAAUACGUAGGGUGCAAGCGUUAUCCGGAAUUAUUGGGCGUAAAGGGCUCGUAGGCGGUUCGUCGCGUCCGGUGUGAAAGUCCAUCGCUUAACGGUGGAUCCGCGCCGGGUACGGGCGGGCUUGAGUGCGGUAGGGGAGACUGGAAUUCCCGGUGUAACGGUGGAAUGUGUAGAUAUCGAAAAGAAACACCACA
rnacentral:rRNA from 1 species